rnacentral:rRNA from 1 species
UUUUAUGGAGAGUUUGAUCCUGGCUCAGGAUGAACGCUGGCGGCGUGCCUAAUACAUGCAAGUCGAGCGAACGGACGAGAAGCUUGCUUCUCUGAUGUUAGCGGCGGACGGGUGAGUAACACGUGGAUAACCUACCUAUAAGACUGGGAUAACUUCUGGAAACCGGAGCUAAUACCGGAUAAUAUUUUGAACCGCAUGGUUCAAAAGUGAAAGACGGUCUUGCUGUCACUUAUAGAUGGAUCCGCGCUGCAUUAGCUAGUUGGUAAGGUAACGGCUUACCAAGGCAACGAUGCAUAGCCGACCUGAGAGGGUGAUCGGCCACACUGGAACUGAGACACGGUCCAGACUCCUACGGGAGGCAGCAGUAGGGAAUCGUCCGCAAUGGGCGAAAGCCUGACGGAGCAACGCCGCGUGAGUGAUGAAGGUCUUCGGAUCGUAAAACUCUGUUAUUAGGGAAGAACAUAUGUGUAAGUAACUGUGCACAUCUUGACGG